CAGCAGCCGCGGGAAUACGGAGGGAGCUAGCGUUGUUCGGAAUUACUGGGCGUAAAGCGCGCGUAGGCGGUUACUCAAGUCAGAGGUGAAAGCCCGGGGCUCAACCCCGGAACUGCCUUUGAAACUAGGUAACUAGAAUCUUGGAGAGGUCAGUGGAAUUCCGAGUGUAGAGGUGAAAUUCGUAGAUAUUCGGAAGAACACCAGUGGCGAAGGCGACUGACUGGACAAGUAUUGACGCUGAGGUGCGAAAGCGUGGGGAGCAAACAGGAUUAGAUACCCCUGUAGUCCCUGUCUCUUAUAC
rnacentral:rRNA from 1 species